rnacentral:rRNA from 1 species
CCUACGGGUGGCAGCAGUGAGGAAUAUUGGUCAAUGGCCGGAAGGCUGAACCAGCCAAGCCGCGUGAGGGAGGAAGGCGCAGAGCGUCGCAGACCUCUUUUGCCGGGGGACAAAAGGCCGGACGGGUCCGGUUCUGAGGGUACCCGGAGAAUAAGCAUCGGCUAACUCCGUGCCAGCAGCCGCGGUAAUACGGAGGAUGCGAGCGUUAUCCGGAUUCAUUGGGUUUAAAGGGUGCGCAGGCGGGCCUUUAAGCCGGCGGUGAAAUCGCGGGGCUCAACCCCGCCGAGCCGUUGGAACUGGGAGCCUUGAGUGCGGUGGAGGCAGGCGGAAUGCGUGGUGUAGCGGUGAAAUGCAUAGAUAUCGCGAAGAACCCCGAUUGCGAAGGCAGCGUGCCGGGCCGCCACUGACGCUGAGGCACGAAAGCGCGGGGAUCGAACAGGAUUAGAUACCCUGGUAGUC